rnacentral:rRNA from 1 species
CAAUAGCGUAUAUUAACGUUGUUGCAGUUAAAAAGCUCGUAGUUGGACUUCUGCGGGUGGCGGCCGGUCGUGCUCGAAACGGGCGUGAACUUGGCGUGCUGCCCGCAUCUUUGGGGAGAUUGUGCGUGGCAUUAAGUUGUCGUGCAUGGGAUUCUCAUCAUUUACUGUGAAAAAAUUAGAGUGUUUAAAGCAGGCCUUUGCCUUGAAUACAUUAGCAUGGAAUAAUAAGAUAGGACCGUUGUCUACUUUGUUGGUUUACAGAUGUCGGUAAUGAUUAAUAGGGAUAGUUGGGGGUAUUCGUAUUCAGUUGUCAGAGGUGAAAUUCUUGGAUUUUCGGAAGACGCACGACUGCGAAAGCAUUUACCAAGGAUGUUUUCAUUAG